rnacentral:lncRNA from 1 species
CAGCAGAGGAAGCAGCUCAGCCCAGGGAGCUCAGGGCGGAGUCAGGAAGCAGAGGGUGGGGGCUAGAAAGGGCCCCAGGGAAGACGCACCCUCCAGGGCACACCCCAGUGACCCUCUGCCAGCCAUGCCCCACCCGCCUGCAGUUGCCACCAUCAUUCAACCUAGCAUGGACUGAUAGGUUCCAGCCCUCACAAUCCAGUCGUUCUACCUCUGAAUAUCAGGAAUGUCUGGGGGAUUCAGACAUAACAGGACCUUUCAAAAGGCUAAAAGGAGGCCCUGAGAGUGAGCCCUGAUCCAACCUGACCGGUGUCCUCAUCAGGAGAGGAAACUCGGGUAUAGACAAGUCCCACACAGAGGAAAGACCAUGCGAGGACACAGCGAGAAGGCAGCCACCUAAAGCCGAGGAGAAGGGCCUCAGAAGAAACCGCGUCUGCUGAUGCCCGAUGUUGGACGUGAACUGGGAGAAAUCGCGGUGGGGUCGGCACAGGGGCCCUAGCAGCCUAGCACAGGAGGUCCUCAGCACCCCAACACUCACGGCUGCUUGGGCCCUGUGCCUUCCACUGAGGCUAAAAUGACCCGGCCAUCAUGACUCAAGGACCAUGCCCUCUGGGAAGCCCCCUUUACACACCCAGGAGGAACAGGGAGCCCCUCUCGGAAGCACCCACCUCCGGGCCGUCUCAUAAGUGGGGUGACUGCGCCUCUGUCCAGUAGCUCCCUGAGGGGGCCAGGACUGCGUUCCAUCACGAUUGUGUUCCCAGACCCCUACCCCGGGCCACCUGCAGGCUCUCUCCGUGGCCCACUUUCUGGUUUCUUCUCCACAGGACUUGCCACCUCACAGGGCAACACAGAUGUCCUCGAUGACCGUGGGAUUAUGCAGGUGGAAAUAUCAGAAGUUCAUACCCCUAACCUACCAAACGUCACAGCUUAGCAUCACGCGCUGGAGGGUCUCGGCGGUGUCCCCUAGUGGUCACAGGGCUGACUGGGACUUGCGACUGCUGCCACUGCCCAGUAUCUCAAGAGGGGACUUACCUAACCGCACAUCAUUAGCCUGGCAAGAGAUCAAAAUUCAGAGUUUGAAAUAUGGUUUCUACCCAGUGCACCUUGCUCUUGCUCAGCAUAAAGCUGAAAUAACAGGCUGGUCCACCGUCAGCUGGGCACUGGCCGUAAUUUACUUUGUUCUUUCAUUUGCUCCCCUGGUGUAGAAGCUGCAUGUGGCCAAGAGAUUUUGUCCGCUUGGAUCUACUGGGGCAGUACCGGAACACAGGUCCAUCAUCCAUGUGGUUUUGUUAACGAAUAAGUACAUGAGAAAUAAACAUGCAAACACCUCGUCACUGCAGGGAACUUUGCGGAGAGAAGGUCCCUGGCCUGACGGUGCCACGGUUCUUCAUGGGAUCCAUAGCUCAGCGACCCCCCUUGCCUCCGUGUUCCUGAUGCGAUGUGGUAUCGGGCUCCGUGACGACGCCGUCCAGGAAGACAGACCAGGGGUCGGCUAGCCCAAAACUUAGUUCUGGUAAAAUAUGAUCAUCCUGCUUCUCUGGUUAAAACUGGCUCAUGCUUAUUUGCAACUUCAAUUAGGACUUUAUUCCCAAGGCUUGAGGAGCUGCCUGACAGUCAAGGUAGGGGCAGUACUGGUUUCCUGGGGUGGGCCCAGGAUGGGACAGGCACAGCCCAGGGGUCUGCAGACUUUGUGUCCCUCGACCAGCUCACAGCUGGGCCGUGCAGGAAUAAAAGUAUUGCAAAGACUCGAAAC